AUGCGAUAAGUAAUGUGAAUUGCAGAAUUCAGUGAAUCAUCGAAUCUUUGAACGCACAUUGCGCCCCUUGGUAUUCCGGGGGGCAUGCCUGUUCGAGCGUCAUUAUAACCCUCAAGCCUAGCUUGGUGUUGGAGUAUGCUACCCAGCAGCUCUUAAAAUCAGUGGCAGUGCCCUCUGGCUCUAAGCGUAGUAACUUCUCUCGCUAUAGAACCCAGAGGGACCGCGCCAGAACCCCUAACUUCUAAUGAUUGACCUCGGAUCAGGUAGGGAUACCCGCUGAACUUAA
rnacentral:misc_RNA from 1 species